AAUAAGUGCAGCCGUGGAUAUCCGUGCCCAACGUUUGACCGUCCGUCUUAUUUGAAAAAUUUGUAAAAAAAUUGAAAAUAUUUAGUCACACAUAAAGUACUAUUUAUAUUUUAUCAUCUAAUAGCAAUUAAAAUACUAAUCAUAAAAAUUUUUUAAAUAAAACGAACGGUUAAACGUUGAAUGUGAAUAGUGUAAAACUGUACUUAUU
rnacentral:pre_miRNA from 1 species